rnacentral:lncRNA from 1 species
CUAUUAUUUUUUUGAGAAAGAGCUUUCCUGUCUAUUAUUUCUGACUCCAUGUUAUCUCUAAAAUUAUGUCUAGAAGAUACUGAUUUAUACUUAAAAAAAAAAAGUUUAAAUAUAGUUUUGACCCCUGUAUUAAUUUUAAUAAUGUUUUAGUCCCUAUUUACAAAAAAAUAAUUUUUUUUUAUCAUAUUUUAUAUUUUUUUUUUGGUGAUCCCACAUCACAUGAUAGACUUAUUUACAUAGAUAACAUCUCAACUUAUAACUUACAAGUUUUUAAUAUUGCCAUUGAUAUCCAAAAUUAACUCCAUUAUUAAA